CACAAAUGGCUGCACAGAGGAGAGGAGAAAUACUGCUCAUACUUGGCUCCUCCCGUGCUCCUUUCAUCACCAGCCUUUGGGCACAGGCACCAGCCCUCUGUACCUUGCCAUUCUUCUAUGUGCAGCUGGAAGGAGGUGGGGGAUUGAGGCCACCCUGGAGGAGGCUGCAGCACAGAAUAUUGACCAGGCUCACGGCUGCCCAUGCUUAAUUACCAGAACACAUUUUCCAAAGUGCCUGAAUGGCUCGUAAUGUUAUGCAAGAAUAUACCAUAAGCAUCAUUCAAGCAGAUUUUAGUGAAACGGGGAUCCUUUUUCCCUGUAAGCACAUCGUGCCAGAUGGAUAGACUGCAACAGAAUGAGUUACAUGAUGCAUUUAAAGGCUGUCAGGAGCACCUGCUAUGAUGUGCACCAAAUGCUGAGCAGUAACCAAAAGGUUCUCUGUUUCCUGUGGAAAUGAAACAAGCUCUAUUGAGAAAAGCAGUUUUCAGAAGCUCUGCAGGCAACUGUAGGCGCACUUCCACAGAGGCCAGCUUUAAGCAGCAUCAGUCAAUACAUGCGAAACAUGGACCUCUGCAGUCCUGAAGAGGCAGCUCCAGUCGCCUUCUGCCAGAGCUCCCUGGGGCUGCCUUGCCUUGCAUCUCAGUUACCCAAACAACAAGCACUGCCAUGAAACAAGCUUCAUCAAAAUGCAGCCUCUGGGUCAUCCUGUGCUGUUUUGACCUACAGUUCUCCAUUGGCUCCCCAGCCACUCUGUUGUUUUCUGCUAGUUUAUCUUUAAUUUUUUUUUUUCCAUGCUGUUAUCUCCUGCUUGGGCUGCAGCUGACUAUCCUCUCACGAGGAAAAGUAUGGAUUUUUCAAGGUUGUGGUGAGCUGGUAUUACAAGUAAUUGCUAUAUUAUCUCAGCUAUAAUGUCUCAUACGGAAGAGGCUCCUGUCUGCUCAGGACCUUCCCAGUUGAAUCUCUUCACGCCAUUCUCCUCUGGGACUCGGAGGUGGCGUGAGUUGAUCAGGCUCCUUUACACAAGGCUGGUACCAUCUGGCCAAUGCCAUGGGUGAUAAGGGUAAAGCAUACUUCUUAUAACAUAUACCUCCAGGGUUGUUCUUGGACAUUUCAACCUCUAUAUGAUUUCCUUAUAAAUAAAUGACCAUCCUGGUGAUACUGGUGUGGAGGAUUCCUUUGAGGCUGGUACAGGUCCUGAUGAGAGGCUGCUCUGACCUUGUGAGGCUUAGGAUCAUCAUGUCCUCUCUGCAUUUGGACUGAAAAUCGAGAUGUUUUAGAAACGUCAGGCACACACACACAUAAUCUUUCAUUCAUCUUUGUGCCACACAUCUUUGUGCACAGCUGGU
ensembl:lncRNA